rnacentral:rRNA from 1 species
CAGUCGCCGCGGUAAUACGAAGGGGGCUAGCGUUGUUCGGAAUUACUGGGCGUAAAGGGCGCGUAGGCGGCCAUUCAAGUUAGAUGUGAAAGCCCUGGGCUCAACCUAGGAAUUGCAUUUGAUACUGUUUGGCUUGAGUUCGGGAGAGGUGAGUGGAAUUCCCAGUGUAGAGGUGAAAUUCGUAGAUAUUGGGAAGAACACCAGUGGCGAAGGCGGCUCACUGGACCGACACUGACGCUGAGGCGCGGAAGCGUGGGGAGCAAACAGGAUUAGAGACCCGUGUAGUCCCUGUCUCUUAUAC